CCAACCUGGUUUCCAGGCUCUUAACCUGGGAAUGAGGUUGUAUCUGCACAACUUGCUGCAGUGGUAAGAAGUAGCGUUUUGCGAUGCGUACAUUCUCAGACUUUGGGAGAGCUGGCCGUACACCCAGAUAAACCGAGUGUCAUGAGAAAGGCUAAUUCUACAACCUGAGCGCGAACCGCAAGAAGACAGUACCUAAUUUUAAUAUAUUUAGCCGUUUACGACCAAUCCAUAGUUCUUUAAUAGACGAUUCCCCUUAUUACGUUUUCAUAGCGCUUUGCAUUGUGGUUAUAGUGGUAUCACUGAUAAAGAUACGGCCUCGAAUGAAAAUAUUGAAUGUUUUCGCGAAUAUUUUGCUGUUGGCUAUCACGCACCUGACCCUAGCUUUUUUUAAGAGUUCUUGCAUGGGUCAGGACAAAAAAUAAGCCAUCUUGAAUGUCAGUGAUACCAC